CUGGCCGUAAACGAUGGGUACUAGGUGUAGGAGGUAUCGACCCCUUCUGUGCCGGAGUUAACGCAAUAAGUACCCCGCCUGGGGAGUACGGCCGCAAGGUUGAAACUCAAAGGAAUUGACGGGGGCCCGCACAAGCGGUGGAGUAUGUGGUUUAAUUCGACGCAACGCGAAGAACCUUACCAGGGCUUGACAUUGAGUGAAAAGCGUAGAGAUACGUUCCUAUCCUUCGGGAUACACGAAAACAGGUGG
rnacentral:rRNA from 1 species